GGGGGGGCAAGCGUUGUUCGGAAUUACUGGGCGUAAAGGGCUCGUAGGCGGCCAACUAAGUCACACGUGAAAUCCCCAGGCUUAACCUGGGAACUGCGUGUGAUACUGGAUGGCUUGAAUUCGGGAGAGGGAUGCAGGAAUUCCAGGUGUAGCGGUGAAAUGCGUAGAUAUCUGGAGGAAUACCGGGUGGCGAAGGCGGCAUCCUGGACCCGACAUUGACGCUGAGGAGCGAAAGCUAGGGGAAGCAAACGGGGAUUAGAUACCCCGGUAGUCCUAGCCCUAAACGAUGAAUGCUUGGUGUGGCGGGUAUCGAUCCCUGCCGUGCCGAAGCUAACGCAUUAAGCAUUCCGCCUGGGGAGUACGGUCGCAAGGCUG
rnacentral:rRNA from 1 species